AUGAAAUUUUUAUUAGAA
rnacentral:tRNA from 1 species